rnacentral:rRNA from 1 species
UACGAAGGGGGCUAGCGUUGUUCGGAAUUACUGGGCGUAAAGCGCACGUAGGCGGAUAUUUAAGUCAGGGGUGAAAUCCCAGAGCUCAACUCUGGAACUGCCUUUGAUACUGGGUGUCUUGAGUAUGGAAGAGGUGAGUGGAAUUCCGAGUGUAGAGGUGAAAUUCGUAGAUAUUCGGAGGAACACCAGUGGCGAAGGCGGCCCACUGGUCCAUUACUGACGCUGAGGUGCGAAAGCGUGGGGAGCAAACAGG